rnacentral:rRNA from 1 species
UGUACACACAAUGCAGCAAACUAGCGAACUGUUGUUGUCCCCCGAGGGGCCUCACCCGGAGGUGGGGCCGCUGAUGGCGUGGCUCGGUCGAGAGGCCGACUCCGUGGGCGUAGCGGUUCCUCGCCGUCAGCUGGAGUGUCUCGUUUUCGCGGGUCUGGUCGUCUGAUGUUGACGUCCCCUAAGGGGGAGUUGGCCUCCGGCGGUCGGGGUCGGGCACUCCCCUCCCCCUUUGUCCCCGUCUUUGGGGUCUCUGGGGCCGUUUUUUCAAAAGCACGUUGAUGAACAUGAAUUUGAGCGACUGAGCCUGGGCCCCUUGCGUUGCCUUUGUGGGUGAUGUAGCCCAAGUCACAAACCAAAAUAACGACUCUCAGCAACGGAUAUCUUGGCUCUUGCAACGAUGAAGAACGCAGCGAAAUGCGAUACCUAGUGUGAAUUGCAGAAUUCCGCGAAUCAUCGAGUCUUUGAACGCAAGUUGCGCCCGAGGCUUGUCCCGAGGGCAUGCCUGCCUGAGCGUCAUCGCACUCCCACCUGGACACUCUCCAGUGUGGAAUGUGGUCGGCUGAAAUGUAUUGUUUCUGGAUGCUCCCGGGGAGAGAGGCCGCGAGAAGGUGAUUCGCUCUUUUUGCUGAGUGGAGUUUUAUUGGACAGCGCCUCUCUCUUGGGUGGUCUAGUCAGCGGCACUGGGCUUGUGCCCUUGGGGAGUGCAAGUAAUGUUGCACCUCCCCUCCCCCAUGUAGCUUGGACCUCAGAUCAGGCAAGAUUACCCGCUGAGUUUAAGCAUAUCACUAAGCGG